rnacentral:lncRNA from 10 species
CUGAAAUAGAAGAAUAUGCAUUAGUACAAUCAAAUCUUGUGACUCAACUUAGAAAAUUCUUUUUUUUUUUUUUUUUUUCAAAUAGAGACAGGGUCUUCCUCGCCAUAUUGUCCAGGCUGGUCUUCACAUUUGCACUCAAGCAAUCGGCCCAUCUCAGCCUCCCAAAGUGCUGGGAUUACAUGCAUGAGCCACUUGCACCCAGCCAGGAAAUUCAAUUUUGACAGACUUCAUAAUGGCUCCCUGUGGUUCAAACACUGAUUAAAAUACGGUAAUUUUGAAAUAGCCAAGAUAACAAGCAUAGGUUAGACUAAUGUACAGACUUUUAAAAGUACUUUGAUUAUGGCUUUUAACAUGCGAUUAUAUGAUGAGAAAACAUACAAACUUUAAAAAGCUGCAUACUGAAGUAUAGCAUUCACAAUUUCUAUCCUAAAAUAGCAAAUCCACACCUAACACUAUAAAUCUGGUGCUGUGCUAAGUCUUUAUUAUUUCAUUUCAUCCAACACCAACCUAAUUAUCAUCCCAAUCUGUCUCCCUUUCUGUAGUCCUCCCCAACCUUCUAACUGCUUCCUUUCUAGGCUUUCAUGCUAUCCUAAUCCCUCCUUAGUUCACCCCAACCCUUCUAAAUAAAAACACAACCAUCAGAUAUCAGGUUAGUUUUUUAUUCAUACUAUUUCCUUCCAAAUUAGUGCUUCUGUUCUGACUCUCAUUUUCUCUUGAUAACACAAUUUUAUUGCACAGUACUAUCCCCUAUAUCUCACUUCCUAUAUGAAGAGGUUUUUUUCUUUCUCUUACCAAGGAAUCUGCCUCUGGGGACAGUUCUCAAGUUGUUGACAUCUUCCUAUUAUUCUAUAAAUGAACAUAUUUUUGGGGCUUUUCAAAGUGAAAUAAGUAUGUGUGCAGCAAGGGUGGGUAGAGUAUGGGAUAUGGGUGGGUAGAAGGUACUGGGGAUAGGGUAAACAUGGGUUUUUGUAGGUAAGAAAGAUUGGUAACUAUUAAAUAGAAUUUUUUUCCUGUUCUUUCAGAGAUUGUUAUCACCUCCUAAAGGACAAGGAUAGUUUCUAACUGGCCUUGACCACAGCUUGGGCCAUGCUUAUCUGUAUUCAUUAUUCAGGGACUUUCUAUGAAAUCUAAUCAUUAGUAUUAUAGACCGGUGCAGUGGCUCACGCCUAUAAUCCCAGCACUUUGGGAGGCCGAGGCGGGUGGAUCACCUGAGGUCGGGAGUUUGAGAUCAGCCUGACCAGCACGGAGAAACUGCAUCUCUACUAAAAAUAAAAAAUUAGCCGGGUGUGGUGGAACAUGCCUGUAAUCCCAGCUACUUGGGAAGCUGAGGUAGGAGAAUCACUUGAACCCAGGAGGCGGAGGUUACAGUGAGCUGAUAUCGUGCCACUGCACUCCAGCCUAGGGGACAAGAGCAAGACUCCAUCUCAAGUAAAUAAAUAAAUAAAUAAAUCUCCAAUCAAUCAAUCAAUCUAAUGAUUAGUAUUAUAAUUCAGGUAUGCUCUAGAUCUCCAAGAAUUUAGAAAAUACAAGGCAGAUGUCAACUGUGUGCCUAUAUAUUUAGAUAUCACUUUUAAUAAUAGAAAUGUGGCACACGUAAAACAUUAUUUUAUAUGGGAAGCUAAAAGACUAUUAAAUAUACAGAUUUAUAGAUAUUGUUAGGGCAUAUGUAACCACUAAUAAGGUUUUUUAAAUGUAAUCUUCAGUGCAGAACACCUUACAAAAAAAGCACUUGAAGUUUUGUUGUUGUUGUUUUUUUUUCCUGAGCCAGAGUCUUGCUUUGUCACCCAGACUGGAAUGCAGUGGCAUGAUCUCGGCUUACUGCAACCUCCGCCUCCUGGGUUCAAGCGAUUCUGCUGUCUCAGCCUCCCAAGUAGCUGGGAUUACAGGCACGUGCCACCGUGUCCGGCUAAUUUUUGUUAUUUUUUUUUUUUUUUGAGAUGGAGUCUUGCUCUGUUGGAAUGCAGUGGUGUGAUCUCAGUUCACUGCAACCUCCACCUCCCGGGUUCAAGCAAUUCUCCUGCCUCAGCCUCCCGAGUAGCUGGAAUUAAGAGGCUCCCGCCACCAGGCCCAGCUAAUUUUUGUAUUCUUAGUAGAGAUGGGGUUUCACCAUGUUGGCCAGGCUGGUCUCCCUGACCUCAUAAUCCAUCUGCCUCGGCCUCCCAAAGUGCUGGGAUUAUAGGCGUGAGCCACCACGCCCAGCUGAUAGAAAUUUUAAAGUUAAAAGAUUAUAACUGUCAUUCUGUUACCGAAGUACUAUAUAAAUUACCUUCUCAAACCGAGUUUUUCUAUUCUUUUAAAAGUUAUUAUAAUAUACCCACUGAUCUUUUUAAAACAAACAUGAGCUCAUCAGUCCACUGCUAGAUUUUAUCCUGUGAAGAAGGAGGUAUUUUCCCCUAGAGAUUCAGCAUAGCUCCACUGACACCUUGAGGCUUCUAGCCUCAAGAACUAUAAGACAACAAAUUUCUGUUGUUUGAAGCCACUAACAUGUACUUUGUUACGGCAGCUCUAGGAAACUAAUCCAUCUUUCUAGCCAUAUUGCUUUCCCCACUUACGUAAAGACUAGAAGCCAACUACUUUG